rnacentral:rRNA from 1 species
CCUACGGGGGGCAGCAGUGAGGAAUAUUGGUCAAUGGGCGUAAGCCUGAACCAGCCAAGUCGCGUGCGGGAUGAAGGUUCUAUGGAUCGUAAACCUCUUUUAUAAGGGAAUAAAGUGCGGGACGUGUCCCGUUUUGUAUGUACCUUAUGAAUAAGGAUCGGCUAAUUCCGUGUCAGCAGCCGCGGUAAUACGGAGGUGCCGAGCGUUAUCCGGAUUUAGUGGGUUUAAAGGGGGCGUAGGCGGCCUUUUAAGUUAGCGGUGAAAGUCUGUGGCUCAACCAUGGGAUUGCGGUUGAAACUGGGAGGCUUGAGUGUGUGUGAGGCAGGCGGAAUGCGUGGUGUAGCGGUGAAAUGCUUAGAUAUCACGCAGAACCCCGAUUGCGAAGGCAGCCUGCCAAGCCAUGACUGACGCUGAUGCACGAAAGCGUGGGGAUCGAACAGGAUUAGAUACCCUUGUAGUC